rnacentral:lncRNA from 1 species
GUGUUUAUAUUUCCUCAUUGCCGAAUAUCAAAAUAACUAAAGAAAAGAAAAGAAACCUAGGUUCGACCAUAUUCAAGCUUAAUCAAGGUAUGUAUCUAGCUCAGUUUUUGAUAAUUUCUACAUUUUUAAGAUCAUUGCUUAGUAACCUUCAAAACCCAUGCUUUAAUUUUUGAUUUUGAUGAACAUUUUGAGUUGUGCCAUUGUUGAUAGCUUGUGAUUUUUGUUGUUUGAUGAUGAAAUAUGAAAGAUAUGUUUUAGAUUAACAUAUUUUGUAUUGGAGUUUUUGAUGAUUUUGAGUAAUUAGGACUUAAUUGCAAAAAAUAAUAAUUUAAGGGACUAAAAUGUGAAAUAAAUGAAAUAUAUGGGCUUGUAUGAACACUAGGAAUAUUCGGCCAAACAUGGGUACCUUGAAAUUUUGCAUAUUUUGUGUUUUGUGCAAUAGGGAUUAAACUGUAAAAAUUGUAAAUGUCAGGGUAAAAUGGUAAUUUGCCCAUUUAUGUGUUUUUUGGACUAAAUUGAAUGAAAAUAUAGUUGAAUGAGCUUAAUUUGAAUAUGUUUAGAUCAAGAACCAAAGAAAUCGGAUUUGGACUAGGGAAAAUGAAAGUUGUCGACUAGCAGCCCCGUCCUGUUUCACGACGUCCGAGGUAAGUUUAUAAGCAAAUAGACAUGUUAAAUUGUAGUUAUAUGUAAAUAUUAUAUGCUGUUUUGUAAUGUAAAAAUAUACAUAGCUAUAGCCGAAUAUACUUAAGCUUGAUUAUCACAUUAUUGGUUUUGACUAAGUUACAUCGUCCGUAAGCCCCGAAUGAACCUUAGGAAUAGUUAGGAUACGUAUGUCAUGACAUAGGAUUCUGAUAUGUGUGUGCGAGUAAGACCAUGACAUCGAUAUUUGACUUCGAUAUGUGUUUAAGAGUAAGACCCUUCUGGGACAGCGGCAUCGAUUUGCUGCUACAUGUACGACCAAGUCUGGGACGUUGGCAUUGUACGAUUUAUGUGAUUAUCCGAGUGUCCUAUCCAAUUCCAAAUGGUUUAUCAGGCAAAGAUAAGUCGAGUUUGAAUAUGUAAACUGAGCUAAAUUGCCAGGUAUGAGUUAGUUUGAUGUAUGUUAAAGUUAAGGUAAGUGUGUUUGGCCUAUUGCACAUUAUUGAAUGGGAUUUAAUUUUAUGCAAAUGUAUUUAUGUGUAUUCGGCCAAAUGACUAAUAUAUGCGUACAUGAGACUAUAUUAUAACCUAUUAGUUUAUAUAUUUACGAGCACGUGAAUUAGGUAUUUAAUGAAUAUUCGGUCUUGAGGGUUGGAUAAUAAUUUGUUAAGUUUUGGCUAUAAAAGCACUCGGUUAUAGUGAUAAUGAAAUUGUAUAUACAUGUGUAUGAUUUAUGUGUAUGUAACAUGAAUUCAUAGGUGCCUGAAUUUAAUGUGGAUUGAUUCAAUAAUCCAGUUUAAUUUAGUUAAGUUGAAUUAGCCGUUGAGUUGUUUAUUUGCUUAUGACUUACUAAGCUUUGGUAGCUUACUCUUUGUGUUAUGUUUACUCUGUUUUAUAGAUUUUGAAGUCAAGCUACAAGCUCGGGAAUCGUCAGUCAAGUUCAUCACACUGUCUACUGCUUUGGUACCAUAAGUUAAACUUAAAAUUAUGGCAUGUAAUAGCUGGUUUUGGAGUUGGUUAUUUUGGGAAUGAAUGUAUAUUCAAGCCAUACGAAAAUGGCUAAAUGGUUAAGUUGGUUUUGGAAUGUGUCUUGGUUGUAAUAAUUUCUCCACUUGAAUUCGGUUUUGUAUGUGCAGGGUAUGAGCUUAAUAGGGCUUAUAUAUUGUGAAUGAAUGAACUUUAGUUAAGUUGUUGUGUGAUAUGUAUGUUAAAAUAGUUGAUGGCUUAGGUAGUAUCUAUAGGUGAUUCUGUCAUGGUUUUGCAUGAGUAUAAAAAUAUAUAUAUAUAUGGAAACAGUUAUUAUGUUUUAUUAAGG